CGACCUCAGAUCAGGCGGGACUACCCGCCGGAUUUAAGCAUAUUAAUAAGCGGAGGAAAAGAAAACAACCGUGAUUCCCUUAGUAGCGGCGAGCGAACCGGGAAAAGCCCAUCGCCGAAUCUCGCCGCGCACUUUUGUGUCGCGGCACGUAUGAGAGUUGUGGCGUACGGGCCGGCCUCGUUGCCGGGGCGCACGUGACGGUCCAAGUCUCCCUUGAACGGGGCCAUGGCCCGCAGAUGGUGCCAGGCCAGUAGAGGCCGUCACAGCGUUCCGGGAUCGGACCGCGCCUUCGAGUCGGGUUGCUUGAGAGUGCAGCCCGAAGCGGGUGGUAAACUCCAUCUAAGGCUAAAGGUACCGUGAGGGAAAGUUGAAAAGAACUUUGAAGAGAGAGUUCAUAAGAACGUGAAACCGCUCGGUUGUAAACGGACAGAGCUCGCGAAUCCCCGCCGGGCGAAUUCACGGUCGGUCUAACCGCCGGCCGGAUCUUUCGCUCGGUUAGCGGACGUCGCGACCCGUUGGGCGCCGGCCGAAUGGCCCGGGUGACGUUCGUCGCGUCGGUCGCGUUUCGGCGUGACCGUUCGCGCCGAGCCCCGGUGCUCAUGGUCGGCUCGCCCGACGGCAAGAACCGUCGACGCGGCCCCGUCGCAGGCGGGGUCCCGUCGGUCGGCGACGUGUUUCGAGCUACUUUCCGACCCGUCUUGAAACACGGACCAAGGAGUCUAACGUGUGCGCGAGUCAACGGUGAUCUUACGAAAAACCACGUUUGGCGCAAUGAAAGUGAACCGUUUACGGUGCGGACGAUGGCCUAGCGACCGAACCCACCGGCGUUCAAAGUCGCGCUGGUCCGCAGUCCGGGGGCGUCUCCGCCAAGUCGGCUUCGGCCGGCUGGGGGCGCACCCUUAGCGCACACGUUGGUACCCGAAAGAUGGUGAACUAUGCCUGGCCAGGAUGAAGUCAGGGGAAACCCUGAUGGAGGUCCGCAGCGAUUCUGACGUGCAAAUCGAUCGUCUGAGCUGGGUAUAGGGGCGAAAGACUAAUCGAACCAUCUAGUAGCUGGUUCCAUCCGAAGUUUCCCUCAGGAUAGCUGGCGCCGAUGUGUCCCGCCCGUUCGCGGGCGUACGGACGCCGGUGGGACUCCGCGCUGUACGGCGCGGUAACAACACGCUCGUAACACGGAGGAUGUCUCAUACGGUAAAGCGAAUGAUUAGAGGACAUUGGGGCCGAAACGACCUCAACCUAUUCUCAAACUAUAAAUGAGUGAGAUCGCCGGCUUUACCUGGGUACACCGCGUGAACCGCGUGCGAAGCCGGCGACGGAACCCUACGCGCUUAGUGGGCCAUUUUUGGUAAGCAGAACUGGCGCUGCGGGAUGAACCGAACGCCGAGUUAAGGCGCCGAAAUCGACGCGUAUUCAGAGACCAUGAAAGGCGUUGGUUGCUGAUGUACAGCAGGACGGUGGCCAUGGAAGUCGGAAUCCGCUAAGGAGUGUGUAACAACUCACCUGCCGAAGCAACUAGCUCUGAAAAUGGAUGGCGCUGGAGCGUCGUGCCUAUACUCGGCCGUCGACGGCAUAGUGGGGCCAGUCGUCGCUCGCGGCGGCCGGUCCCGGCAAGCCUCGACGAGUAGGAUGGCGCGGCGGUGUGCGUCGAAGGGCAGGUCGCGAGACCGCCUGGAGCCGCCGUCGGUGCAGAUCUUGGUGGUAGUAGCAAAUACUCGAGAGGGGCCCUCGGGGGCUGCCGUGGAGAAGGGUUUCUUGUGAACAGCCGUUGUCCAAGAGUCAGUCGAUCCUAAGCCCGGGGAGAGAUCCUCGUACCACGGGCGAAGGCGUUUUCGAAUCGCCCUUGGGGCGAGAGGGAAUCCGGUUCGUAUUCCGGAACCCGACGCGGAACCGCUCCCUAGUGUUCGGGGCUCUUUUGUCUCGUCUGGGUAACCAGAAUGAACUCGAAGAAGCCGCCGGGGGAUCUGGGUAGAGUUCUCUUUUCUCUGUGAGCGUUGUACGUCCCUGGAAUCCUCUAGCCGGGCGAUAGGGACGCGAGCGCGAAGAGCACCGCUCGUUGCGGCGGUGUCCGUGAUCCCCACGCGGACCUUGAAAAUUCGAGAGAGGGCCACGCGGAGUCUUCGCGUCGGGUUCGUACCGAUAUCCGCAGCAGGUCUCCGAGGUGAGCAGCCUCUAGCCGCAUAGAAUAAUGUAGGUAAGGGAAGUCGGCAAAACCGAUCCGUAACUUCGGGAUAAGGAUUGGCUCUGAGGAGCGUGGCUGCCGGGUUCGGGUCGUCGUAGAAGCGUAGGCGUUUUUGGCGACACCCCGGCCGUCGCCCGUGCGCCCGGUCUUCGGAACGGGAGCCUCGAGGCGGCCGCGGGCCCGUCGCCGUCCGCCGACCGUGGAACCACCGAGCUUCGGUCGCUGGCCGCGUCGCGGCCGGCCGACCGCCUUGGUGUCGGUUCGCCGUCACCGGGCGGUCCGGCCGCCGCGCCGUCGGUCGCGUAGCCGGAUCGACAGCCA
rnacentral:rRNA from 1 species